CACGUAGGGCGCAAGCGUUGUCCGGAAUUAUUGGGCGUAAAGAGCUCGCAGGUGGUUUGUUACGUCUGCUGUGAAAACCUAGGGCUUAACCCUGGGCUUGCAGUGGAUACGGGCAGACUAGAGGUAGGUAGGGGAGAAUGGAAUUCCUGGUGUAGCGGUGAAAUGCGCAGAUAUCAGGAGGAACACCGGUGGCGAAGGCGGUUCUCUGGGCCUUACCUGACACUGAGGAGCGAAAGCGUGGGGAGCGAACAGG
rnacentral:rRNA from 1 species